rnacentral:rRNA from 1 species
GACGAACGCUGGCGGCGUGGAUUAGGCAUGCAAGUCGAACGGUAUCAUCCUUUCGGGGGUGAGAGAGUGGCGAACUGGUGAGUAACACGUAGGUUAUCUACCCUCAAGACGGGGACAACCCAGGGAAACUUGGGCUAAUACCGGAUGUGAGCAACUUUUAGUUGUUUGAAAGGUGGCGUAAGCUGUCGCUUGGGGAUGAGCCUGCGUCCUAUUAGUUAGUUGGUGAGGUAACGGCUCACCUAGGCAAUGAUAGGUAGGCGGCCUUAACGGGUGGUCGCCCACACUGGGAUUGAGAUACGGCCCAGACUCCUACGGGAGGCAGCAGUCGAGAAUAGUCUACAAUGGUCGGAAGACUGAUAGUGCGACGCCGCGUGAACGAUGAAUCCCUUCGGGGUGUAAAGUUCUUUUAUAUGUGAGCAGUGCUUCUUAUAUUAACAGUAUGGGGAGAGAGAUAUUGGCAUAUGAAUAAGCAACGGCUAACUCCGUGCCAGCAGCCGCGGUAAACUCGU